rnacentral:rRNA from 1 species
UACGUAGGGGGCGAGCGUUGUCCGGAGUUACUGGGCGUAAAGGGCGUGCAGGCGGUGCGGUAAGUUUAGCGUGACAGUCUCCGGCUUAACUGGAGAAGGCCGCUGAAAACUGCUGGACUUGAGGGCCAGAGAGGGACAUAGAAUUCCGGGGUGGAGUGGUGAAAUGCGUUAGAUAUCCGGAGGAAUACCAAAGGCGAAGGCAGUGUCCUGGCUGGCAACUGACGCUGAGGCGCGAAAAGCUAGGGGAGCGAACAGG